CUUCUUCUGCUUGGUGCGGCGGUUCUGGAACCAGACCUUCACCUUGGGGCAGAGGGCACACCGGGUAGCAGAAAGGGAAAGGGGAGGAGCAGGAGGCGGAGCCAAGAUGAAAGGAGAGGAAGUUCCGAGGUGGGGUAGGGUAACAGGGCAAAGGGUGGGGAGGACAGGAGAGGAAAGAAGAGCAGAUUGUUAGUGUCCUCUCACACCAGGCUAUUCUCAGGAGCUGAGUCAAGUCUCAAGGCAUAAGCACUCACUCACUGCCGCUCUGACUCUGGCCCACAGGAGUAGAUUGGCUUACAGGAGAAGGUAGGGUUUGCAGGUCCUUUGCUCUAAGCCAGAUGUCUGGUCUUAGGCAUCACUUAUAUGUAGGUAAUUCUCAACUGCCCUUGGCCCAGAACUCUAAACUGCGAUCCAAGCCAAGCAACUAAAGGCUACUUAUUUAUUUAUGUUUAUUUAGACAAGUAUCGCAGACUGGCCUGGAAUUUGCUAUGUAGUUGAGGAUGACCUUGAACUUUUGAACCCCUUGCUGGGGUUACAGUGCUGCCUUAUAGACCUGUACCUUCACAUCCAGUUGCACACCUUGCUAGGGAUACAACCUAGGGUUGUGUGCAUGCUGGACAAACUAUCCACUGAGCUCCACAUCCUGUGUCCCAUAUACUACGCAUACAUGAGCAGGGACAGCAUGCGGCAGCAGAAGAGUAGGAACCGUGGCCCAGAGGCCUUGAAGGGGAGGGCCGGAAGCCUUUCUCAUCCUCUCUGGCUUCCAUAGGACCUCAGAGGUCCUGCCACGAGAGAAGGGCUCCAAAGUCAUGACCCCUGUGCUAGGAAAGGAACAAAGCGACUGUGGGCAGAGGGGGAUGACAAUGACAAGGGGUGUGGCCAAUGCAGACGGAGGGUGUGCCCCACUAUGCCCUUUCCAGCAAGCAGAGUUCUGUGUGCAGAAGGAGAGGAAAGCCUGGGUUGACCAGAGGUGGAGGGAAGGGGAGGGAAGGUUGGGCUGGGGCUGGGACCUGGCUUUUCAUUUGUCGUGUGUGGAUUCUUAAGCCUGGCUGCACACACAUUCCCUGUGUACAUUGUAAACCCAGUGCCCUGUGCUCAUUUGGAAACUUUCUAUUAGAGUUGGGUCAGGAGGGAGGCAUCAGGAUUUCCAGAAAUGUCCAGUGUGCUGCUGGUAGAGCACUCCCGACACGGGUGCCUCUCUGUGUCCCACCAGCAGUCCCAGGGCUUCCGGAGGCUGCUUCAUAAGGCUCAGAGACCCCUGAACCAUCCCUUCUCCUCCAGAAGCCUUUGGUUUCUUCUGUCUCUUGUACUGAUUCUGUCUGCCUCUGCUCUGUCCCUCUUGCAGGAAACCAUUGCCGCCGACUCCUGGAGAGCCAGGGCCCGUCCCUGUGGAGUUUCCUGGGCAUUACCUGCCCCAGCCGGGCUCCUUAGUACCCUGCAGAGGGUCUCUGAGUGUUCCCACCUUGGCCACCUGGAUCUCAAGGAAUGCUUGGUGGCUUUCAUGUUCUGAUACUGGCUCACCAAGGCCCACAGAUUCCAGGUCUGGGAAGCUCUACCUCUGACCCCAGGAGAAUAUCUCUUUGGGCCUAAAGGUAGUGCUCAAUUCUAAGGCUGUUCACUCAAAAAAAAAUGACAUUAAUAACAAUUUAGAUAUCAGACAAGGUCUUCCUAUAAAGCCCAGGCUGGUUUUGAACUCUGCUUUCUCCUGCCUCAGCCUCCUGAAUGCAGGGAUGAUACUAGACAUUCAUCUUUUAAAGGCCAUGGGCUCAUACUGAGUCUGGAGUGUGGAAGGUGGGUUUCGUUCCUACGCUAGAGUAGCCCCUCUAGUCUGCUGUUCUAAGGCAGGGCAAUGGACUGGUACUAAAGACAAUUGCCAAAGCUACUUGGUGUCCCAGUGAGCCCUGGGGCUUGGCAACUUGUCCUCAGCCCAUCCAUUGGCCAUUUGAGGGAGAGGACCACUGACUCAGCACCUCACCUUUCCCUCACUCAAACUCCAUCCUUUCUCAUUUCUUCUGGGCAUGGUGUGAGACACAGUCUCAUGUAGUCCAGACUGGCCUCCCACUCACUAUGUAGCCAAGGAUAACCUUGAACUCUUGACUCUCCUACUUCCAGCUCAAGAGUGCUGGGGUUACAGGUGUAUAGCACCACACCCAGUUUAUACAGUCUGGGGAUCCAGCCCAGAGCAUCAUGUAUACUAAGCCAACACUUUACCAACUGAGUCACAUCCCCAACCAGCAUACUACUGUUAAAAUAGCAGCCCUUCACUGGGACUGGCCCUUCCUUUACACAAGAGGAACUCAGUCACCUCAAGAUGAAGGGAAGGUGACAGAGGUUGAGAAAGGACCUAGAAGAAGAGAGAAGUCUGUCAUGGUUCAUUUCUUCCCAGAAUCCUUUGUUUUUAUUAUCUGGGUUCACCCUGGGCUGCUAAGACUGGUCUUAAACUCUUGGGUCAUGAUCCUAUCACCUCACCCUCCUAAGAACCUGAGACUGCAGGCUCUUGCCAUUGUGCCUGGUACUCCCUGGAAUCUUUGCUCCCGGAAGCCAAGUGAUCACUAUCCCAAGGCACCUUACCUGACAAUAUCUCUUGGAUGGUUUGAAAAGAAAGAUCCCCAUAGAGUAUAUAUUUGAGUGCUUAGCCACCAGGAAGUGGCACUAUUUGAAAGGAUUAGAAGGAUUAGGAGGUGUGGCCUUUGUUGGUUUGUCUCCCGUUUCCCCAUGGAGCAUUGGGAUUACAGGCACUCAGAGCUUUUAAUGUAUUGAACCCAGAUCUUUAUGUUUGUCCAAGUACUUUUAUCCGUGGAAUCUUCUCCCAUUUCUUUCCUUCCUCCCUUCCUUUCCUCUUUAUCUUUUAAAUGGUGUUUGCUUUGACAUCAGGUCUCACUAUGUCAUCCAGGCUGGCUUCCAGGUCUUCAUGCUCCCUGCACUCCCGAGCGCUAGGAUUACAGGUGUGUGCCACCACUCCCAGCCCAGACCUCUUGUUGGCACUGUUGGCUGUGCCUUACCUAUACUUCUAAGCUUUUCCCUCAUGUGUGUAUGUUCCUCCCAAGUCAUGCCCCUCUAUGUCAGCCCUUGGCCUCAUACACCAAGGAGUUCCCUAGGUAUGUGGUGUUCACCAUACACCAAGGAGGUCACCAGGACCAGAUGAUGGAAGCCUGGCCUGGCUCUCACCUGAGUCUCAGAGAGGUUCAGCUGGCGGGCCAGCUCUGUGCGCUCUCGGCCCACCACAUACUGGCAGCGCUGGAACUCCAUCUCCAAACGAUACAGCUGUUCUGCUGUGAAGGAGAGUAAGGAAUAACUGGCACAGACCAGAGACAAGGCCUCACGUCCAGAGGAGAUGGAUUAGAACUGAAUGUGGUCAGUCAUAGAAGGCUUUCUGGAGACUCGGAGCCCUGUUCCCUCCUGGGGUCCAUAAGGAGGUUAGUGGAUGUGAACAAGGGGGCACAUUUGGAACUGAAAACCCCAGGAGGCGCCCAAGGACUGGUACCACCUUGCCAGGCUGCUGGGUUAUCUUCCAGGGAACUAUUGCGCUUGCUGUGUCCCCGAACUCCUGAGCCACCUCGGGCUUUAGUGUGUUUUCACAGCCUCUCUGGUGCUUUGGAGUCCAUCUAAGAAGUGCCAAAGACCUGCAGCCCAUGAUCACCAUCAGCACAGAGCAGCGGGGAAGGGAAAGGCUUUAAUCUAAGCUCUCUGUCACGGAUCUGUUAGCACGGGCAAUAACCGACAGUGAAUCAGGCAGCACUGUACCUGUGAGCCAUCCACCACAAAAGAGAAGUAGCAGCAGGUCCCCACUAGAGGAGGAGAGCAGCCUGGAAAGCUUACCACCACCUCAGGAGGACAUGGUGCUGCACCCCUGCAAUCCCAGCACAUGGGACGUGAAAGCAGGAGGGCCAGGAGUUCAAGGCCAGCCUGGCACAUAAGAGACCCCGUCUUAAAACAAAACAAACCAAACAACAACAACGACAAUAACAAUAAUUUAGCAACUAGGCAGCCCUUGUUCAGGAAGCCCCUGCAAAUGCCACCUCCUGCACAAGAACCUUCCACUUCCACCAGGGGGCGCAGAGGUGGCGUUUGCUGUGUGCUGGGAAGCUACUCCUAGACUGGCUUCUGUGCCAAAUCCUAAGAAGGGUGAGAUAAGGCUGUAGAUUCUGCUCAGUAGUGAAAAGUAGUUACUGUUUUUGCAAAACAAAACAAAACAAAACAAAACAAAAACAAAAACAAAAAAACAAAACAAAAACAAAAAACAAAAACAAACAAAAAACUCUGGGUUCUGUUCCCAGCACACGUUUGGAGGCUCACAACACCUACAACUCCCCUUUGGGGGAUCCUACACUCUCUUUUGGUCUCAUGGGUACACAUACACACGUGCACAUAUGUCCCCAUAGCAUUUACAUGUAAUUAAUUUUAAAAGAUUUAAAAGCAGGAGACUUGUGAAGGAGUCCAGAGGUGUGAGGGUGGGGCUAAGAGGGUAGUGACUCUAGUCAUAAUGUAGGCAAUCCCUGCCCUGGGUCUGGUGUUGGUCUUAAGUUUGAACCUUCCCAGUGUCUCCAUGGAGAUGGAACUGUCAUUUCCCACUUUACAGAGGAGGAGCAAGUUUUAAGUAACUUCCUGAAGGUCCCACUGUCAGCAUUCAAUAAACCCUGAUACGCCCUGAUUAUGCCAACAGUAAUAAGAAGUCCCACCACUAGGGUGAUACUAGCAGGAAGACUCAGGUUCAAGGCUAGCCCAGGCUCCAUGGUGAGAGCCUUUCUCCACAAACAGAAGCAGCAGCAAGCAGGGUCUGGAGAUGUAGGUCAGUGGAGCAGCUUGCCGAGGAGGCACAAGGUUCAAUCCCCAGCAUGGAAACCACAGCUGCGGUCCAGCCUUGCUUCAUGAGCACACGCGGGCCAUCCUUACUAUAGCAGUCGACAAGUCUCAGCCAAGAGUUUAGCAAUGAGUAAAGAAGGAAUCUUCUGGAGAAGCCCAUUGUUCCUUUGGAGAACACUAGACAGGAUAUCUGUUGGGAUGCUGCCCGUCUUUCAGCCCCAGAGGACUAUGGUCCUACUUUUAGAAUCUCGGCUCCAGAUCAGUAGCCUUAGCCGCUCCUUCCCGUGCCCUGACUUUAUGGCUCCUGUUUGCUUCAGUGGAUGUUCAGCCUUCAGGGUGAGCUCUGGCUCUGGUCCAUCUCACCUUCAUGUUCAGUCAGCCCUGGAAGCAGGAAAUAAGAUGUUUUCCAGCACCAUGCUAAAACCAUACGACGAGAUGCUGCUCAUCAGAGAAGAAGGAUCAGUGUUGAUAAGCUCGGUGCACACAGUGAAGAAGCCGGACCUGGAAAAAGUCGUGGCUCAGUGGUUAAGAGCACCGGUUGUUCUUCCAGAAGACCUGGGUUCUAAUCUCAGCACACUCAUUUGUGACUCUAGUUCCAGGGGAUCUGAUGCCCCCUUCUGGCCAUCCCAGGCGCUACAUGCAUGUGGUGCACAGCCGUACCUGCAGGCAAGACAUUUACAUACAUGCAAAAUGAGUUCAAAGACACCCUGGAUUACAUGGGUACAACUUCAGGACAGCAAUGGCUCUCAAGUUAAGAACACUUGCUGCUCUUGGAAAGGACUUGGUUUUGGUUCCCAGCAGCCAGGUCAGAAUUUACGGCUGCCUGUAACUCUACCUGCAAGGCGUCUGCCUCUGGCCUCUGAGGGCACCUGUACUUUUGUGCCAUACCACACAGAGACAUACUAUAGAAUUAAAAAUAAAAUAAGUCUUUAAAAUUUUUUAAGAAAGGAAAAAGGCCUUCGUGCUGAGACAACGCUUCUGCAUUUCAGCCACUUUAUGGAGGUAUGAGUGAGAGGAGGAGUCACAGGACUGUUAGACACGCAGUGAGGGACAGCACAAAGGAUGGAGCUCGGGAGGUCGAUGGCUGUUUCUCAGCCUUCCCCACUCACAAUUUUCUAUGUGAUUUUUCUUGUUUGCUUUUUGCUUUACUGUGUGUUUUGAGGCAAAACUCCUGAAAUCUAAGUUAGUCUGGAACUCUCUAUGUACCCUGAACUGGUCUUGAACUUUUGACUCUCCUGGCUCCUGGCUCCUGACUGCUGGGAUUACAAUUGUGCACCACCAGGCCUGACUCUGUCCUCUGACUUUGAUGAUGUGCUGCAAAUGCUCCUGAUGAGGGAAGCCAGGCAGGGUGGUGGUUACUUGAGAUCUUUCUGCACCGGUUGUACCACUUCUUGUGGCUCUAAAAGGAUUUCAAAAUAUGAAGCUAACCACAACAGAAACAAAGAACAAAGCCAGGGUUCUAUGUUGUCACCAAAUACACAGAUUCGUCAAUGGAGAGAGAGGACAGUAGUGGUCCCCUGCGUCUCUGUGUACCCUGUGGCUAUAAGAUGAUUUAAAACAGCACAUGAGAAAUGCCUGCCAUUUUGAAACUUAUUUUAAUGUUUGCUAGGAACAGUUUAAUCCAUGUGUAGGUUAAAUUUGAAUGAAAUUGUCCCCCAUGGACUCAGAUGGUUGGUUUGAACACUUAGUCUCCAGAAGGAGGCGACGUUUGGUUCUAGGAAGUGUGGUCUUGCUGGAGGAAGUCGCCUGGAGCAGGCUUUGAGAGUUCCCAGUACACACUUUCUGCCUAGUGAUUGCCAUUCAGGAUGUGAGUCUCAGUUUGCUAGUCGAGCUGUCAUGUUUGCCUGUUGCUAUACUUCCCCUGCCAGGAUGGUGAUGAACUCCGAUUCCUCUGGAACCAGAAGCCCAAAUAAACCUUUUCUCUUAUGA